GACGAACGCUGGCGGCGUGCCUAAUACAUGCAAGUUGAGCGCUGAAGGUUGGUACUUGUACCCACUGGAUGAGCAGCGAACGGGUGAGUAACGCGUGGGGAAUCUGCCUUUGAGCGGGGGACAACAUUUGGAAACGAAUGCUAAUACCGCAUAAAAACUUUAAACACAAGUUUUAAGUUUGAAAGAUGCAAUUGCAUCACUCAAAGAUGAUCCCGCGUUGUAUUAGCUAGUUGGUGAGGUAAAGGCUCACCAAGGCGAUGAUACAUAGCCGACCUGAGAGGGUGAUCGGCCACAAUGGGACUGGGACACGGCCCAAACUCCUAAGGGAGGCAGCAGUAGGGAAUCUUCGGCAAUGGACGAAAGGCUGACCGAGCAACGCCGCGUGAGUGAAGAAGGGUUUCGGAUCGGAAAACUCGGUUGGUAGAGAAGAAAGUUGGUGAGAGUGGAAAGCUCAUCAAGUGACGGUAACUACACAGAAAGGGACGGCUAACUACGUG
rnacentral:rRNA from 1 species